UUCCAGCAGUUACUAGAAAUG
rnacentral:piRNA from 1 species